CAAAGUCUCCCCGAGGGUUUGUCCAGGCUGGGGCGGAGGCGCUGGGCCUUCAUAUCCAAGUACCUGCGUGUCAGUGACCGAGGGUUCACCAGGGGACAGAAGCCCGGGCAGCUCUCAGCAUCCACGUGUACACGCAAAAUAACUGCAGGUGCACGCCGUGCGAGGCAAAGCACCCCAAAGGCCACGGAGGCCGGAAAGAAUCACAAGGCUUCAGGGGAGCUCCCAUAGCACGCUGGGGGCCGCCCGUCUUGCUGGACUCACACAAAUCAAUCUCCUUGGGCUCCAACCAUGUGAUAAGUUGUUCAGUGAGGUGCCGAUACCUUGUAGCAUUUUCGUUGCUUCCAGAAAACAAGAGGCCAGUGAUACUUGCCAAUGGCAAAUGCCAGAAACAAUGUGAGCCACAGCCAGAGGCAAGGAUUCCUGGUCACCAAACCGGGAGGUCAGCCUGUUGACACAGCCGAUCCGAGGAAGCUGGCCUCCUUCUGCAACCACACACCGUCUGUGAUUCCUGGCAGCCGGGGAAAGAACGUUACUCUCAGAGGCUGGGACGGUGGCCCGGCGGUUUUCUCUCCCCGUCUGCUCCGAAGCCUUUCCCUGCCCGGCGAUGCGUGGGACCAUCUACCGUGACACUAUUGAUCGAAACUCAGCAUGCUGAUGGAAAAGUGCAAACGCGUGAGUGUGUACAGACGGGUGGAUUUUCCCAACGUGAACUCAUCCAUGUGACCCCCUCCCAGGAGCCCCUCAGGACUUGGGGAGAUCCCCCGGGCGCCCUUUUGCUCCCCGCCCUCCGCGCCCUCCUUCCCAGGGAAGGUGCCAUCCCGACGUCCGACCCCAGAGGCUAGCUCUGCCCGCCACGGACAUUCUAUACGAGUGACAUCACGCGGGGUGUGCUCUUUCGCGGCCGGAUUCGUUCACGCAGCCCCACCUUUGUGAGGCUCGUCUGUAUGACGGUUUGCAACGGCGGUUUGUUCUUUUUCCAUCGUUGUCUACUGUGCCGCAACUUCUGGAUCCUUCCCACCGCUGACGGGCAUCAGAGCUCGCUCCCGUUUGGGCCGUUGGAAACGGUGUGCCUGUGAGUGUUCUAGAACGUGUUUCUGGGUGCGCGUAUGUGUGCAUACUGUUGGGCGCACACCCAGGGGAACGCCUGGCUGUCCGGUGUUUGCAUGUUCAGCUUGAUUAGGUGCAGCCUGUUUGCAAAGUGGACUGAUUUACACGCUCGGAAAAGUGCAGCCGUUCUGGGGCCUGCACCGCCUCGCCACCCAAUCAUAAUGCAGGGAAUGAUACACUUCGAUAUUCUCCACGCUUACGACUGCAGCUGGUUUUUAUAACAUCUUUGUGGGAAUCGGAAAAAGGACCCUCCUGCCUUAAGACCCUUCCGCCGGAUGAAAAUGUGAUGAAAGCCGGUUUUGUCAGAGCGUGGCAUGUGACUGCCCUCUGCUGGAAGACUGUUGAAAUUCAUAGUACAGAGCUUGGAUGCCGGCGAUGGAAAUGGCAGCCUCUUAGGUGUGGUAGCCUUGGGCAGUGCACACCCUGGACAACCACACAUGGUGACCCUGCCACUCUUCACUCUUGUUCACACACACUGGAGGUGUCGGUCAGGACUGGGCAGAGGUGGCCCAAUGAAAGCUCACAGAAAUGAUGGCCCGGGGACUGAACCUGGGCCUCCCAGAGUGACCUGACGCUUUGCACAAGGUCACACGUCCCAUCUGUGCCACAACCGGAAUCGGGAGCCCGGGUCCUGACUCACUGAUUUUUCUCCACCCGACGUGCAGUCUGAGUUUCCAAAUCCGGCAGGCAUCAGAGCACGCUGCUCUUUAGAAAGAUGAGCCAAUUUAUAUUCUUCACCGGCAGGCCACGGGCUGCCCCCUCUCCCGGAGAGGCCUUUUUCAAACUGACAUCUGUCAGCAGCCUUGAUCCGUGCGUGGCUUUUUCCAAGCGGUGGUCCUGCUCGGGGACCUCAGCUCAACUUUGAUUCCAGCUGUGGCACACGGGCAGCCCCUCCCGGCUCCAGUAAGAUGGGUCGUGCCCUGGCUACGAGGGACAGUGUGGGGGCAACCGGGCCCGCGUUGUGCCCUUGCAGGGGUGGGGGAAGGCCCCCAUGAGAUGCGGGCACGCAAGUGUUUGGAAGAAUCAUGCGAUAUUGGGCAAAGGCAGAGCAUUAGGAUUGCGGUGGGUGGGGGAGCGGGCGGGAGGAGGAGGCAGAUGGGCGGGUGCCGUGUCCUCUUCUGGAGUCGGGCCCAGAGCCCAGGGCUCCCCUCCCUUCCCUCUGACAGUGCAGGGCUCGCCAGGUUCUGUGCCGGCAAUCGAGGGAGCACCGGAGCUCUCUGAUGCUGUGGCUCAGCACUGGAGCCUUCCUUUGGAGACAUCUGCCAGCGAGAUUGGAGCAAAGCUUCUUUGAGGCCACGAAGAGGUGAUGGUUUUGCAUUGUGUAGGAGGAGCCAUCCAGGGGAAGGAGAAAUUUCCCUCCGAGAAAUUUAAGAGGCGAUGCCGGAAUCCUGUCAAUUCCACGACUCACGGAGCGGGGUCUUCGCCUUUGUAGGGAGGGGUGUGGGGGAUGGGCAGGGGGCCGUGACGUGCGCGGGGUCCUUCCUUAGCGGGCAGAAGUCAAAACGGGUGGGACGUGUUCAUUCACGUUAUUUCCUCAUUAAAAAAUAAUUAACUGG